ensembl:lncRNA
GGUGACAUAAGUAGCUUUAUGAGCAAUUUUUUUGGUCACUUGCUACUCCAUGAGUCUGAUGAUGCAUCAGCCUCUUCCUGCAAAAGAGACCAUCUGAACUUCCUUUUCAUUGGAACUUUUCGUCUGGAGUCCACACUGUGGUGAGAAGGCAGAGCUAAGAGUGGAAGGCAGGAGCGCAGGAGGGGGCGGCACUCAGCACAACUUAACAUCCAGCGAUUUUGCCUGGGGCAACGACCAGCCUCCCAUCCCUACACACAGCACCACGGAGACUGGAGAGCCAUCUGCCAGGGGGUACUGAGCGGAGGUUGAAUGCUUUCCAAG